rnacentral:rRNA from 1 species
AAUGGGCGAAAGCCUGACGGAGCGACGCCGCGUGCAGGAUGAAGGCCUUCGGGUUGUAAACUGCUGUCAGAGGUUAAGAAGCGUAGUAGGUAAUAUUCUGCUGCGUUGACAAAGGCCUCAGAGGAAGCCACGGCUAACUUCGUGCCAGCAGCCGCGGUAAGACGAAGGUGGCAACCGUUGUUCUGAAUCACUGGGCAUAAAGAGCACGUAGGCGGGUAAUUAAGUCGGGUGUGAAAUCCCUCGGCCCAACCGAGGAACUGCGCCCGAUACUGGUUACCUUGAGGGCAGGAGGGGAGCGUGGAAUUCCUGGUGGAGCGGUGAAAUGCGUUGAUAUCAGGAGGAACACCGGCGGCGAAGGCGACGCUCUGGCCUGCUUCUGACGCUGAGGUGCGAAAGCCAGGGGAGCAAACGGGAUU